rnacentral:rRNA from 1 species
UUUUACGGCCAAACCGCCUGGUUCACGCCCCGAUCUCGUUUGAUCUCGGAAGCUAAGAUAGGUUGGGCCUGGUUAGUACUUGGAUGGGAGACCGCCUGGGAAUACCAGGUGCUGUAAGCU